GGGGCCCCCGGCCCGCCCCGCUCCGGCACGCGGGUCCCGCAGGUUAAAGCUGCCUUAAAGGAGAAUUAAAAAUAGUGACUCCAAAGAACAAAAUAACACAGAAGAGAGAAAGCAGCACUCAAAAAACCCCCAGAAAGGUGAUGAUUCAUUUAGACUCUGAGAGUCAUCUUAGACACAUGGUUUGGCUGGGAUUGGGGCCUCUUGUGUUUUUAUGGAUUUUAAUAGGUAGCAUUUGAUUUCUUUGUUCUUUUAAAACCUACUUGCUUUGGCUGUUGAUCUUUUAUAGUUUGAAAGCUCUGAAUCCCAUUUGAAGUACAGUUCUUCUUGUAACACUUUAUAAUUUUCCAAAAUUAUUCUGCAAAUGUUGUUUUGAUUAUGAAUUGCUACUUAAUGGGGCUUUUGUGUCUUCAUCUCAGGGGUGUCACUUAAGAAUACUUGGCUGUAGGUUGUUAAAAGGAUCUUUUCUUUAAGUCUUUCCAUAAAUUUAUGGGUUCAGCACUGCUUUUGUUUCUGUUUCAAUUCUAGAAUCUUUAUUGGGCUGGGUCAUGGUAAUUGCAUUACAUUGGUUUAGUCAUACCUCACUCCUGUGUGGGUCACUUUUUUGUGUGUGUGUUGUAACGGAGCUGCAAAAAUUGAAAUUAAUUUAAUUGGAUGGUGUCUGCUUACAAGUACUUAACUUUUUGGGCUGAGAUCAUAGAAGGAGAUGAUGCUGUUGGGUGCUUAAGGGGAAAAAAUCAAAGGAGUCAUCAAAACCAAUGCUGCUGGUAGGAGGGAGGUUGUGUUUCAGGGGGAGAGCUGUUCGUAGGGAGAAUUGCGUGUUUUACGUGGUGAGAUGAAGAAAUGGAUCCUAGGAGAGAGAGUGGGGGGUGAAUGAUGUCAGUCAGACUUUUUCUGCAUCCUGCUGUCAGCGUGCUCCAAAGGAUGGAGGCUCUGCGCCUUCUUCUAACGCAGAGUCUGUCUUGAAGCCAUUUUAAUCUGUUUCAAGUGUGGGUGAGCUUGGUUUUUUGCCUUAGAUGCCCUCCCUAGAGGUCCCUCUGGUCUGUGUCGUGUUUUCAGAGAGGUCACUGACUGUACCAAAACAUUGUUCAUUGUUGGCAAUCAGUUGUUUUUGAGCAUUAGCCUGCAGGAGAAACAGCAGUAUUUGUUGCCAGCAGCCUUGGUCAAGGCUGGAUCAUUUUUCCAAUACAGAUGUCUUUAGAUUAACAUAAAGUGUUUGCUCUGUGUUGAAGAUUAAAUAGAAAAUUCCUCUGUAACACAAGUGCAACAAAUCCUGAGGCACGCUUUGGAAGUGCAGGGAGGAAAUUUUCCAUGUUAUUUUGAUAACUCAGGAGUAAUGGCAGAACAUGUGGACAUGUCCAGUGUGAUUCCAGGAGGGAUUUUCUUGCUAAUAGGUGAAGCAGGUGUGCAUCAGUACAGACUUACGAGUGCAGUUAUUGCACAGCUGUUUAAUCGGAAUUUCAUUUAUUAUAGCUUCUCUUUCCCAACCCACCCAGUGCCUCUCACAUCAGAGCUGUAGCUGCUCCAACAGGACACCUCUUGGUGCCAACAGUUCAUGGGAUCUUUGGGAUUUAUUCACAACAGGAGACCUAAGUUUUAAUUUGAUUUGUGAAGUUCCUUCCUAGUGUGAAAUGCCAGUGCAGCAAAGUUUGAUUCAGAUGCAGAGACUGGAAUUGAGUUCAUAGGAAUCAGGGAAUUAACUUCUGGCAGAAAUUUGCACAUGGUUGAAACAAGGCACAGAGAUCACUGGUAUGCUGAAGUCCUGCUCUUGAUCCCUGGAAGAAAUGCAGCAUGUUGCAAAUGUAGCAGCCCUUUAGAAAAAGCUUUCAUCUUCAGGCUAUAUGCUCAUUUUGGGUUUGUUUUUCCUCACUGUGAAUCCUCAACCCUUAAAGGAAAUGUGCUGUCUGAGGGAUGGUUUUGUUUUGUUCCAGCAAUGCUUACAGAAUGAUAUUAUCACAGUGAAAAUCUUGCUUUGUCCACUAAACAAAUCCAACAACAUUUUGGAUGUCUUGGAUUCUUGGAUUCUUUUAGGCUGCAUUAAAUAGAAAUAUGUAUCAAAUGUAUUUCUAGAGAUUGUUGAUUGUUGAAUUUUGAGAUUGAUUGUUGAAUGACCCAAACUCUGUAAGCAGCACUCAGCUGUGCUGUGAGAAUUAGGGCUGAAGUGACUCCUUUAAUGUGGUUUGAACUCACCAUUGGUUCCUGCUUCUGUCAUUCCGUGCAGUGUUGGUGUUUGGGUGCUCUAAUGAUAGUAAAUCACGUGAAAAUACAUAAAUCUUAGCAGUUAACACUUGCUACAAAUUAAUUACUUAUAAGGCUAAGCUUCCAACUGACUUUUGCUGUUUAAAACUUAGUGAUAGCACUACUGUAAGUUGGAGGAGAAUUGGUGUUUUUUGCUUGGUACACGAGGCUCUCCAAGCAUGCUGCAGAGCACAAGCUCCCUGCAGUUUGUCAGUGCACAUCUUGAGGGAGGAGGUUCUGGCUGUGUGAGCCUGGUGCAGCAUUCUCUGCUGAAAAAGGAGCUGGAAGACCUUGCUUUAGCAUCAGCACUGAGGUCCUGCCCUCAGAAGGAAUUGCAGGAUUUUAUUCUCAGGGCUCUGCUUGUGCCUAAGGUUGCCAGUGGGGGUGCUGAGGAUGGUGAGUGGUGGCUGUGCUUGCUGAAGUUGAAGUUUCCCUCAGGUUUGCAGACCUGAAGUUGGUUGAGCUGGGUGAUCUGUCUGAUUCUCCAUCAGGCCCAAACUCAGAUCUCACAACCUCUUUUUGAGAUGGAUUAUUGUAGUAAAAUGAGACCUCUGUGCUUCAGUUUCACCCACCUGCAGAAUGUAACAACACCACCUCUAGUUCUAGGAACACCUGAAGUGUGUGGGGCAUUUGUAGAUUAACUCUUUUGGUUGUUUUAAAAUUUGUAUGUCCGAGCUACGAGCUGACCUUGCAGGAGCUGUCACGAGAAAUGUGUAACUUGUAAUGACACCUUGUGAGGAGUGAAGGCUUCUUCCCUUUGAAGCAGCAGUUCCUCUGUAAUGGUUUGGACUCAUGCAGUGUUAACUCACUGCUUUCAGGGCCAGCACCUUGCAUGUGUUCUUGGUAGUUUUCAUCUCAGCCACAGGGAUACCUCACUUGGUGUCUGUCUGGGCUGCAGCAUGAAACAUUCAGCAGAAAAUAUAUUUGGGAUUAUAAGGCUCUGUGAAAUUUUGAUAUUUCACAUGUUACUUGCAAACUUCCCGGCUGUGAUGUGAGAAUGCAAAUGACAACACAAUUGUUUGCCCUACUCUCUUGUCUGAAGAGCUCCUGGAAUAGGAGCGUGAGUGACAGCUGAAAUGAUGGUUGUGUUUAGUUUGACAAAAAUAUAUUGACCAUUUUUAAAAUGCCAUGUGAGUGAGAACACAUUUAGCUUGUUCAAGCUUUGAAAUGGGUAGGAGAAGUGAGUUGUGAGACUAAUGAAGGUUGAUGUGAUUUAUCCUUAUUCCACAGGGCUUUCCUUUUUUCUGUUGUUUAUUUGAUUUAAAUGUCUCAGAAUACUUCAACCACAGGCAACUCAGAUCUACACUGAUGAAGUCUAUGCCAGAUACUAAAUGUCAUGUGUAAUGGUACACUUCUCUUGUUGCACAGAGUUAGGCUGACAUCAGUAACUUAUGGUCCUUAUUCUGCUCUUGGGUCUGUAAUCUCAAAGUUUAGGAAUCAGGUCUUUCUGUCAGGCUGUGCAACGAGCAAAAUACUGAAUUUUCAGGUCUUGCUUUUUGUACCAACCUUUAACUUUCUUUAAAGUAAGUGUAUACAUAUGUCGGAAUUAAUUUUCCACAUGAUGUUUGCAGUGACUUUGAAGAAGUGACACAUUGGUGUGGAAAAGUCUGAGAUCUCUUUGACAACAUGAGACAUUAUCAAUAGAUAAUGAGGGUGUUUGUCUUAUUAUUUUUAUUUAGUGCUGCCUCUACUAUAAUUAUUAGUGUUUUAAUCAAACUUUGUUAAGUCAUUGAGUGAGGGAGGUUUACUCUCACUAAAUAUGACUUAUUUUUAUUAAAGUUGCAGAUCUUACUCUUGCCAUAUGCAGCUAAUUUUCCUUUGGGGGGAAAAAGCUUGUUACUUUUUUAGUGGAGCAAUCUGUUACCUUGUCUGUAGUCUGUGAAGUCAGUGCAAUUCUAAUUUGCAUCAGCUAAUAAAAAAUGUGUGGGUUUUAAAGUGAAAAUCAUGCAAAAAUUAAAAAAAAAAAA
ensembl:lncRNA